UCAGGGAUAUUGCACAAUGGGCGAAAGCCUGAUGCAGCGACGCCGCGUGCAGGAUGACGUCUUUCGGGAUGUAAACUGCUUUUAAUGGGGAAGACAUAGGACGGUACCCAUAGAAUAAGCCCCGGCUAACUACGUGCCAGCAGCCGCGGUAAGACGUAGGGGGCGAGCGUUGUCCGGAGUUACUGGGCGUAAAGGGCGCGUAGGUGGUCUCGUAAGUCGGAUGUGAAAACUCUCGGGCUCAACCCGGAGCCUGCAUCCGAUACUGCGGGACUAGAGGAACGGAGAGGGAAGUAGAAUUUCUGGUGUAGCGGUGAUAUGCGUUGAUAUCAGAAGGAAUACCCGUGGCGAAGGCGGCUUCCUGGUCGUUUCCUGACACUGAGGCGCGAAAGCUGGGGGAGCAAACGGG
rnacentral:rRNA from 1 species